CUAUCAUCUAAAUAUUGUAUGAAAAUUGUAUAAUAUAAAAGAUUAUGGAAAAAGUUUUAAAUUACAGUUAGAUAAAAAAGCUUUUGAUAAAGCCUAACCGUAUGUGAAACUCGUUAAGUGUAACAUCUCAGGAGUAUAUAAGUGUAAAAUUUAUAGAUUGACUAACCUCUGGAAUAUUAAAGGGACACUAUAGCCACCAGAACAACUACAGCUUAUUAAAUUUGUUCUGGUGAGCAGAAUCAUUACCUGCAUGCUUUUUGCUGUAAACACUGUCUUUUCAGAGAAAAUGCAGUGUUUACAUUACAGCCUAGUUAUAACUUCACUGGCCACUCCCCAGAUAGCUGUUAGAGAUCCUUACUGGGUCAUGGCUGCCUAAAAUGCAUUCAAACAUUCAGUGUCUCCUCCCUCUGCAUGCAGACACUGAACUUUCCUCACAGAGAUGCAUUGAUUCAAUUCAUCUCUAUGAGGAGAUGCUGAUUGGCCAGGGCUGUGUGUGAAUCAUGUAGGCUCUUCCCCUGACCUGCCUCCUUGUCAGUCUCGGCCAAUCCUAUGGGGAAGCAUUGUGAUUGGAUCAGGCUACCACUUCUGAUGAUGUCAGCAGACUGCUUGUUUUUCUGAGUCUAACAGAAUGCAGAGUUACAGCUUCAGGCUUGAAUACAGUAAGAUUUUUACUAUAUUUAUGGAGGCAUGAGGGACCCUCAAUGGUGAUUUUAACACUAUAGGGUCAGGAAUACAGGUUUGUGUUCCUGACUCCAUAGUGGUCCUUUAAGCCUAAAUUUGCUUUAUUUAUUUAUUACUGGCAUUUAUAAAGCUCCAACAUAUUCCUCAGCUCUGUACAAUUAGGGAAGAAGGUACAAUAUACACAAACAAAUACAAAUGGUAAGGAGGGCCCUGCCAUGAGCGGGGAUCUAACCAUUGAGAUCUUUUAAACAAAGUGCUUAGAUAACCCAUGAGCUUACAAUCUAUAGAAAAUAAUGGGGAUUUGAGACAAGAGAUAGAGUGAAUU